UACGGGGGGGGCAAGCGUUGUUCGGAAUUACUGGGCGUAAAGGGUUCGUAGGUGGCUUGCUAAGUCAGACGUGAAAUCCCUCAGCUUAACUGGGGAACUGCGUCUGAGACUGGCAAGCUUGAGUGCAGGAGAGGAACGCGGAAUUCCAGGUGUAGCGGUGAAAUGCGUAGAUAUCUGGAGGAACACCGGUGGCGAAGGCGGCGUUCUGGACUGCAACUGACACUGAAGAACGAAAGCCAGGGGGAGGCAAACACGGG
rnacentral:rRNA from 1 species